rnacentral:tRNA from 1 species
GUGCCUGUAGCUCAGUAGGAUAGAGCAACAGCCUUCUAAGCUGUGGAAUUAGGAGUUCGAAUCUCUUCAGGCACGCCA